rnacentral:misc_RNA from 1 species
ACCGAAGCUCAUAGCCGCCUCCGGGCGUGAUGGGCGGCUGGUAUCCUCCUUCUGAGGAGUGUAUGGCGCAGUGUGGGCCGGCCUUCGGGUCGUGAAUCCUCAACGUUGCGGCGGACCACUCCUUGGGCAACUCAGUGGGAGCAAUUGGAUCGCCUACGGGCACCUUUGGUGGCUUUGGCCUCGAAGGUGACUUGGGCUGGGCGUUGGGCUUCGGUUCGCGCCCUGACCUCUUAACUAAACCUGACCUCUCUUUACGGAGGGUUGCCGGUGGUCCCUGCGCCCCUACGGGGCAAAGUGGCCUCCCGGUGAAGAUAGUUACCUGGUUGAUUCUGCCAGUAGUCAUAUGCUUGUCUCAA